GAUGAACGCUGGCGGCGUGCCUAAUACAUGCAAGUCGAGCGAACAGACGAGGAGCUUGCUCCUUUGACGUUAGCGGCGGACGGGUGAGUAACACGUGGGUAACCUACCUAUAAGACUGGGAUAACUUCGGGAAACCGGAGCUAAUACCGGAUAAUAUUUCGAACCGCAUGGUUCGAUAGUGAAAGAUGGCUUUGCUAUCACUUAUAGAUGGACCUGCGCCGUAUUAGCUAGUUGGUAAGGUAACGACUUACCAAGGCAACGAUACGUAGCCGACCUGAGAGGGUGAUCGGCCACACUGGAACUGAGACACGGUCCAGACUCCUACGGGAGGCAGCAGUAGGGAACCUUCCGCAAUGGGCGAAAGCCUGACGGAGCAACGCCGCGUGAGUGAUGAAGGUCUUCGGAUCGUAAAACUCUGUUAUUAGGGAAGAACAAACGUGUAAGUAACUGUGCACGUCUUGACGGUACCUAAUCAGAAAGCCACGGCUAACUACGUG
rnacentral:rRNA from 1 species